rnacentral:lncRNA from 1 species
UCCCCGAAUAUUCUCGAUGAAUACAACUCUCACACCUUUAACUUUUCCCAUAAUCUCCCAUGUUAAUGCUAUGUUAUAACAACCUUUAUAUGCCUCUAUCAAUACUAUAUAUAGAGGCAUAGGAACUCAUAUUGUGUUCUCUUGAACAUACUUAUUGAAAGAAUAAGAAAUCGCUCUUCUCUUGUCUCUGUGUUUUUAUUUCUUUCAUAACCAAGGGUCUAAGACAUUGUGUUUGAUGGUGAAGAAAGAAAGUGUUGAGACGAAAAUGUUUAUGAGAAAGGUUUUUUUCUUUCGUCAAUUCGUAGUGAAAUUAUUGAUUAUCAAGCACACUAAUGAAAAUACUAAAUUUACUUGAGAAAACGGCGUUAAGUAGGAAAAAGAACACUGAAGCAAAGUUAAAUAGACUGAUCUAAAUAAUUUUAAAGGAAUUCAUUUUAAUAGUUAGUUCAUAUUAACAUCAUGGCACAUAACAACUCUAGAAAAAAGUUAGGUUCUUGAUUGAAAAAUUCAAUUUGCUACAAGA